UGCUUUCGUCUAGUUGAAAAUUUCUAAAAAGUCAGACAAAGCUCAAGAUUUAUAUUGUUUUAGAUUUAUUUGUUCUUGAUAAUCGUAAUACUCCAUGCUGUUUAGCGGAUUUGUGGCCAGAGGCAGCCGUCAUAACCACUCAAUAUGCAAGUUUUUCUGCAGGUGUUAACCUAUCACCAGCAACAAUCUUAUGAUCAAAUGAUUUCGGCAACUGUGACCUGCUAGAUAUUUUAAUGCUGCAUUACCUACAUCAAUGCAGCGUAUUACAUAUAAAAAGCAUCCCAUUGCAUUGGAAUGCAAUUGUCAAUCGAGUUACGGAUCUCUCCUUUUCCCCUUUCUUUGAAUGUCCUCGUGUACACCCAUGUGAGUGUGGGGGUAUUCACGAGGACGUCACAUCUCGCCCUGGUGGAUUCAACUUUUCAGCGGAUGGAUGGAGGAGCACUUGCGGAUGAAGGCCUGGCUGUAUUUCCCAGGCCAAAAGGUAGGACAAAAUUGAUCUCUAUUCUUCCUUUUUGACAACUUUUGGUGGCGUUUGGUGGCUGCAAC